rnacentral:rRNA from 1 species
GGGGUCAACUCGGAGGAAGGUGGGGAUGACGUCAAGUCAUCAUGCCCCUUAUGUCCAGGGCUUCACACAUGCUACAAUGGCCGGUACAAAGGGUUGCGAUGCCGUGAGGUGGAGCGAAUCCUUUCAAAGCCGGUCUCAGUUCGGAUCGGGGUCUGCAACUCGACCCCGUGAAGUCGGAGUCGCUAGUAAUCGCAGAUCAGCAACGCUGCGGUGAAUACGUUCCCGGGCCUUGUACACACCGCCCGUCACGUCAUGAAAGUCGGUAACACCCG